rnacentral:lncRNA from 1 species
UGUUCAUCAACUCUUCAACUUGUCUUUGUAAUUCUUUUGCUUCUUUGGGACUGCAUCUAUAAGCUGGUCUAUUUGGAAUUUCAGCACCCGGAACUAGGUCAAUUUGAUGUUCAAUGCCUCUAAUUGGUGGCAAUCCUAGGCCAGCUUGAAUGAACAGUUUGGUGUCUAUUGGUGCUUCCUCACUUCCGCCUUGAGACAUGUUGCAAAAAAAAUGAAAAGAACCUCACCACUCCCUCACGUGUUUCACUCAAAUAUAUUUCACUCAAUCACUCGUGUUUGCACAUAAUGAUUUGGCUUUUUCCCUCUGAUGAUCUCACACACUCUUGCCUUUUACCACUCGAUUUUCUCUUCAAAGUUCUUGAGAAAACUAAGGUAAAUUUCAAAGCAAAGCAAAUGAAAAACCAACACACUUAAAAAUACAGAUUUUUGAGUGGAGUCAAUAAGGAAGCAACAAGUGUGAAGAGCUUAGGAACAUAAAUGAUGAGAAGAAAUGGAUAUGAAAAGAAAGGCAAAGAAUAUGGAAAGAAAGCAAAUGGAUAUGAAAAGUUGAAUGAUGGAUAUAUAGAGAUGAAAUAUGAGAAAUAGGUGAUAAUAAAAGACAAACUUCUCCUUCUUCUUUUCUUUCAAAACGUUUGACCUUGUAACUCCUUUUGAUCUCCUUCUUUCUUUCUUCUUUCUUUCUUUCUUUUUUUUUCUUUUUUUUCUUUUUUUUACAACUUCAGUUCUCCUCUUUUUGUGUUUUCUUUUCAAUAAUAGAACCAAUAGCAAUAUCAACAAAGAUGAAGCACAAAAAGAAAUGGUAGAGAAUAGAAAUGAAAUGGUUGUGGAUGAAAAGAUAUCAGACGAUGCACAAUGAUGGGAAAAUAUAAAUGAUAGAAUAUAAAAGCAAAUAAAGGAUAGGUAAACUGAUUGGAAACCUAGGCUCUGAUACCAAAUGAUGCAAGCCUCAACGAACCAGCCGUGAGACCCAACAACAAUAGUUUGGAAAAUCAAUUCCCAGAUCGUCCAAAAAAAAGGUUAAAAGGAAAGGAAUAUAGACCCCGUUGCUACAAAGAGCAAGAAACCUAUAUUAUCAAAGGAUUAGGAGUAUUGACCCCAUGACUAUAGAGAGUCAGAAACUAAUAUUAUCAAGGGUUGGAGGUUCAAGUGGUUGUACUUGAAACUACCAUAAGUUCUACUCAAGAACAAUAGAGAGAAAAUUCUCACAAGAAGAUUAUGUUUCGAAAUUCCUUCAUUACAAGUGAAAACACCAAGUAUUUAUAGGCAAAACAAGCCUUGGGUGCAUUGAAACCACUAGGCAAAUAUCAAAUGAAAGUUGGUAAAGAUGAAAGGAAUUAAUACUACUUAAAGUCUUAGCAGCAAUUAAUUAACCUCGGGAAGUUGCAGCAAUACUUCCAACUAUUUUGACUAGGUUCAUCCUUCAUUUGCAAGCCUCAAAAUGUCCUUUAGCCUUCCAAAAGCCUAUGAUAAACGCACCAUAAAGAGCCGUCCGAAUUUGAAAGGUUUAGACUCUUCUUUUCCAUGUUAAAUAAUUAAUUGGGCUGAAUAUUGUGAACGGCAUCAUCAGUUUUAUGACAAGGGAUCAAAUAUGCCAUUUUAGAAAAUCGGUCAACAACAACAAAAAUUGAAUCUUUUCCCUUUCUGGUUCUAGGUAAACCCAAAACAAAAUCCAUAGAAACAUCAGUCUAAGGGUGACUAGGAAUAGGUAAAGCUUUGUAUAAUCCAUGAGGUUUCACUCUUGAUUUGGCCUUUUUACAAGUGACACAUCUGUUGCAAAUUCUGUCAACAUCUCUUUUCAUGUGAGGCCAAAAGAAAUGUUCUUUCAAAAUUUCCAGAGUUUUAAAUAUACCAAAAUGUCCCAUUAAUCCUUCUCCAUGGGACUCCCUAACAAGAGACUCACGUAAAGAACACUUCGGAAUGCAAAGCUUAUUUUCCCAAAAUAAGUACCCAUCUUGCUUGUAAAAUUUUUCAAAAGGUCUUGUUUCACAAGCUUCAAAAACUGUUGAAAACUCAGAAUCUUGUGGGUACAACUCUUUGAUAUGUUCAAACCCAAAAAACCUUGCUGAAAGAGUAGAAAGAAGAAUAUACCUUCUUGAUAAAGCAUCAGCAACAACAUUAUCUUUACCUUGCUUGUAUUGGACAACAUAUAGGAACAUCUCGAUAAACUCAACCCAACGAGCAUGCCUUCGAUUAAGCUUACCUUGGCUCUUCAAAUGCUUCAAAGAUUCAUGAUCGGUGUGAAUAACAAACUUCUUUGACCAUAGGUAGUGUUUCCAUGUCUCUAACGCUCUCACCAAUGCAUAGAGUUCUUUGUCAUAGGUGAAGUAGUUCAAGGCAGCUCCGCUCAAUUUCCUACUAAAGUAAGCCAAGGGUCUCUUGUCUUGUGUUAGGACAGCAUCUAUACCAAUACCAGAAGCAUCCCAUUCGAUUUCAAAAUUUUUAAAGAAAUCUGGUAAAAGUAGGGGCCGAACUUAGCUUUUCUUUCAAAGUGUUGAAUGCUUUCUCUUGUGCCUCACCCCUUUUGAAUUCAACACUUUCCUUGAUGAUUUCUAUCACUGGAGCAGCUAUGGUGUUAAUGUUUGGAACAAACCUUCGGUAGAAUCCCGCCAAGCCAUGGAAGCUCCUAACUUCGGUAAUGGUAGUUGGUGUAGGCCAGUCUUUGAUCGCCUUUACCUUCUCUUCAUCAACUUCUACACCUCUAGCACUUACAACAAGGCCAAGAAAUACAACUUUGUCCAAACAAAAGUGCACACUUCUUAAGGUUAGCAUACAAUUGCUCUUUCUUAGCACAAGUAAAACAUUCUUUAAAUGCCCUAAGUGUUCAUGCAAUUUCUUGGUGUAAUUCAAUAUGACAUCAAAGUAGACAGCCACAAAUUUUCCAAUAAACUUACGCAAGACAUGAUCAUUAAGCGCAUAAAAGUGUUGGGUGCAUUAGUUAAUCCAAAGGGCAUAACUAACCACUCAUAAAGUCCAUGUUUGAUGAUAUCCAGAUUUCAAAUCAAUUUUAGAAAAGAUAGCGGAACCAUGGAGUUCAUCAAGCAUGUCAUCAAGAUGGGGAAUACGAUAACGAUACUUUACCUUUAUUUUGUUGAUAGUACGGCAGUCAAUGCAUNNNNNNNNNNNNNNNNNNNNNNNNNNNNNNNNNNNNNNNNNNNNNNNNNNNNNNNNNNNNNNNNNNNNNNAUGACCUUUGUUCAUCAACUCUUCAACUUGUCUUUGUAAUUCUUUUGCUUCUUUGGGACUGCAUCUAUAAGCUGGUCUAUUUGGAAUUUCAGCACCCGGAACUAGGUCAAUUUGAUGUUCAAUGCCUCUAAUUGGUGGCAAUCCUAGGCCAGCUUGAAUGAACAGUUUGGUGUCUAUUGGUGCUUCCUCACUUCCGCCUUGAGACAUGUUGCAAAAAAAAUGAAAAGAACCUCACCACUCCCUCACGUGUUUCACUCAAAUAUAUUUCACUCAAUCACUCGUGUUUGCACAUAAUGAUUUGGCUUUUUCCCUCUGAUGAUCUCACACACUCUUGCCUUUUACCACUCGAUUUUCUCUUCAAAGUUCUUGAGAAAACUAAGGUAAAUUUCAAAGCAAAGCAAAUGAAAAACCAACACACUUAAAAAUACAGAUUUUUGAGUGGAGUCAA